rnacentral:rRNA from 1 species
UCUGAAUAUGGGGGGACCAUCCUCCAAGGCUAAAUACUCCUGACUGACCGAUAGUGAACCAGUACCGUGAGGGAAAGGCGAAAAGAACCCCGGCGAGGGGAGUGAAAAAGAACCUGAAACCGUGUACGUACAAGCAGUGGGAGCACCUUCGGGUGUGACUGCGUACCUUUUGUAUAAUGGGUCAGCGACUUAUAUUCUGUAGCAAGGUUAACCGUAUAGGGGAGCCGCAGGGAAACCGAGUCUUAACUGGGCGUUAAGUUGCAGGGUAUAGACCCGAAACCCGGUGAUCUAGCCAUGGGCAGGUUGAAGGUUGGGUAACACUAACUGGAGGACCGAACCGACUAAUGUUGAAAAAUUAGCGGAUGACUUGUGGCUGGGGGUGAAAGGCCAAUCAAACCGGGAGAUAGCUGGUUCUCC